rnacentral:rRNA from 1 species
CGGAGAAUUGCUAGCUUGCUAAUAAUUCUCUAGUGGCGCACGGGUGAGUAACACGUGAGUACCUGCCCCCAAGAGUGGGAUAGCCCCGGGAAACUGGGAUUAAUACCGCAUAAAGCAAUAAAGCAGCAAUGCGCUUGGGGAUGGGCUCGCGCCCUAUUAGUUAGUUGGUGAGGUAACGGCUCACCAAGGCGAUGACGGGUAGCCGGUCUGAGAGGAUGUCCGGCCACACUGGAACUGAGACACGGUCCAGACACCUACGGGUGGCAGCAGUCGAGAAUCAUUCACAAUGGGGGAAACCCUGAUGGUGCGACGCCGCGUGGGGGAUAAGGUCUUCGGAUUGUAAACCCCUGUCAUGUGGGACAUUAAAAGAUAGUACCACAAGAGGAAGAGACGGCUAACUCUGUGCCAGCAGCCGCGGUAAUACAGAGGUCUCAAGCGUUGUUCGGAAUCACUGGGCGUAAAGCGUGCGUAGGCGGUUUCGUAAGUCGUGUGUGAAAGGCGGGGGCUCAACCCCCGGACUGCACAUGAUACUGCGAGACUAGAGUAAUGGAGGGGGAACCGGAAUUCUCGGUGUAGCAGUGAAAUGCGUAGAUAUCGAGAGGAACACUCGUGGCGAAGGCGGGUUCCUGGACAUUAACUGACGCUGAGGCACGAAGGCCAGGGGAGCGAAAG